UAGCCAUAUCAUGUUGAAACCCCCAUUUCUCAUAUGAUCACCAAAGUUAAGCAAUGUCGUGCCUUGUUAGUACCUAGAUACGUGACCGCUUGAGAAUACCAGAUACUGUAAG